rnacentral:rRNA from 1 species
UAAUGUACUCUCUCUUCGGAGCAUCGGAUGACAGGUGGUGCAUGGUUGUCGUCAGCUCGUGUCGUGAGAUGUUGGGUUAAGUCCCGCAACGAGCGCAACCCUUACCUUUAGUAGCCAGCACGAUCUAUGGGUGGAGAACUCUAGAGGGAGCUGCGCCGGGAUAAGCCGGGAGGAGAGGUGGGGAUGACGUCAAAUCAUCAUGCCCCUUAUCGACCAGGGCUACACACGUGCUACAAGUGGCGUAAACAAAGUGAAGCGAACUCGCGAGGGUAAGCAAAUCACGAAAAAUUAACGUCUCAGUUCGGAUUGUAGUUCUGCAACCUCGACUACAUGAAGCUGGAAUCGCUAUAAUCGCAGAUC